rnacentral:piRNA from 1 species
UGCUGUUCAUAAUACAAAGAGCAUCUGUAGA